GUGUCAGCAGCCGCGGUAAGACGAACCGUGCGAACGUUGUUCGGAUUCACUGGGCUUAAAGGGCGCGUAGGCGGGCAACCAAGUCAGGGGUGAAAUCUUUCGGCUCAACCGGAAAACAGCCUCUGAUACUGGUCGUCUGGAGGGAGGUAGGGGUCUGUGGAACUUCUGGUGGAGCGGUGAAAUGCGUAGAUAUCAGAAGGAACGCCGGUGGCGAAAGCGACGGACUGGACCUCUUCUGACGCUGAGGCGCGAAAGCUAGGGGAGCAAACGGGAUUAGAAACCCCGGUAGUCC
rnacentral:rRNA from 1 species